ACCGCCAUGUGCGGGAGCUCGGGCUGACCGGGCUGAGAGGGCGACUGGACGCGUCGCCGACCGCUGGAACCUGACCGGGUAAUGCCGGCGUAGGGAGCGACCAUGAGCACGUC
rnacentral:ncRNA from 2 species